rnacentral:rRNA from 1 species
AGCUCCAAUAGCGUAUAUUUAAGUUGUUGCAGUUAAAAAGCUCGUAGUUGGAUUUCGGAGAGGUACUGCCGGUCUGCCGUUUCGGUAUGCACUGGCAGCGCCUCUCUUGCUGCCGGAAACGGGCUCCUGAGCUUAAUUGCUCGGGACUCGGUGUCGGCGAGGUUACUUUGAGUAAAUUAGAGUGUUCAAAGCAGGCCUACGCUCUGAAUACAUUAGCAUGGAAUAACACGAUAGGACUCUGGCCUAUCUCGUUGGUCUGUGGGACCGGAGUAAUGAUUAAGAGGGACAGUCGGGGGCAUUCGUAUUUCAUUGUCAGAGGUGAAAUUCUUGGAUUUAUGAAAGACGAACUUCUGCGAAAGCAUUUGCCAAGGAUGUUUUCA